AUUGAACGCUGGCGGCAUGCCUUACACAUGCAAGUCGAACGGCAGCACGGGAGCAAUCCUGGUGGCGAGUGGAGAACGGGAGUGUAAUAUAUCGGAACGUGCCCAGGCGUGGGGGAAAACGUAGCGAAAGCUACGCUAAUCCCGCAUGCGGUAUAGGGAUGCAAGGGGGGGAUCGCAAGAACGCGCGCGAUUGGGGGGGCCGAUAUCAGAUUAGGUAGUUGGUGAGGUAAACGCUCACCAAGCCUACGCUCUGUAGCUGGUCUGAGAGGACGACCAGCCACACUGGGACUGAGACACGGCCCAGACUCCUACGGGAGGCAGCAGUGGGGAAUUUUGGACAAUGGGCGCAAGCCUGAUCCAGCAAUGCCGCGUGCAGGAUGAAGGCCUUCGGGUUGUAAACUGCUUUUGUACGGAACGAAACGGCGAGCUCUAAUACAGUUUGCUAAUGACGGUACCGUAAGAAUAAGCACCGGCUAACUACGUGCCAGCCGCCGCCGUAA
rnacentral:rRNA from 1 species